UCCUACGGGAGGCAGCAGUGGGGAAUAUUGCACAAUGGGCGCAAGCCUGAUGCAGCAACGCCGCGUGAGGGACGAAGGCCUUCGGGUUGUAAACCUCUUUUAGUAGGGAAGAAGCGACUGGGUUUUCCUGGGAGUGACGGUACCUGCAGAAAAAGCACCGGCUAACUACGUGCCAGCAGCCGCGGUAAUACGUAGGGUGCAAGCGUUGUCCGGAAUUAUUGGGCGUAAAGAGCUCGUAGGCGGUUUGUCGCGUCUGCUGUGAAAACCCGAGGCUCAACCUCGGGCCUGCAGUGGGUACGGGCAGACUAGAGUGCGGUGGGGGAGGUUGGAAUUCCUGGUGUAGCGGUGGAAUGCGCAGAUAUCAGGAGGAACACCAAUGGCGAAGGCAGAUCUCUGGGCCGUAACUGACGCUGAGGAGCGAAAGCAUGGGGAGCGAACAGGAUUAGAUACCCUGGUAGUCCAUGCCGUAAACGUUGGGAACUAGAUGUGGGGACCAUUCCACGGUCUCCGUGUCGCAGCUAACGCAUUAAGUUCCCCGCCUGGGGAGUACGGCCGCAAGGCUAAAACUCAAAGGAAUUGACGGGGGCCCGCACAAGCGGCGGAGCAUGCGGAUUAAUUCGAUGCAACGCGAAGAACCUUACCAAGGCUUGACAUAUACCGGAAACGGCUGGAAACAGUCGCCCCGCAAGGUCGGUAUACAGGUGGUGCAUGGUUGUCGUCAGCUCGUGUCGUGAGAUGUUGGGUUAAGUCCCGCAACGAGCGCAACCCUCGUCCUAUGUUGCCAGCACGUAAUGGUGGGAACUCAUGGGAUACUGCCGGGGUCAACUCGGAGGAAGGUGGGGAUGACGUCAAAUCAUCAUGCCCCUUAUGUCUUGGGCUUCACGCAUGCUACAAUGGCCGGUACAAAGGGCUGCGAUACCGCAAGGUGGAGCGAAUCCCAAAAAGCCGGUCUCAGUUCGGAUUGAGGUCUGCAACUCGACCUCAUGAAGUCGGAGUCGCUAGUAAUCGCAGAUCAGCAACGCUGCGGUGAAUACGUUCCCGGGCCUUGUACACACCGCC
rnacentral:rRNA from 1 species